UGUAGCGGUGAAAUGCUUAGAGAUUACAUGGAAAACCAAUUGCGAAGGCAGGUUACUACUAAUAUAUUGACGCUGAUGGACGAAAGCGUGGGUAGCGAACAGGAUUAGAUACCCUGGUAGUCCACGCCGUAAACGAUGGAGACUAGCUGUUGGGAGUAAUCUCAGUGGCUAAGCGAAAGUGAUAAGUAUCCCACCUGGGGAGUACGUUCGCAAGAAUGAAACUCAAAGGAAUUGACGGGGGCCCGCACAAGCGGUGGAGCAUGUGGUUUAAUUCGAUGAUACGCGAGGAACCUUACCAAGGCUUAAAUGUAGUUUGACCGGUUUGGAAACAGAUCUUUCGCAAGACAAAUUACAAGGUGCUGCAUGGUUGUCGUCAGCUCGUGCCGUGAGGUGUCAGGUUAAGUCCUAUAACGAGCGCAACCCCUGUUGUUAGUUGCCAGCGAGUCAUGUCGGGAAACUCUAACGAGACUGCCAGUGCAACUGUGAGGAAAGGUG
rnacentral:rRNA from 1 species